AUGCCGGCGCAGGAUGAUAGAGAAGGAGAGGGUGACCUUGAUGGCCAGACAAGGGAGGACAAGGGUUGGUGGGAUGGGAUGGAUCUGUUCGGGAAGGUGAGAGGACAGAGACAAAGGGGGAGCAUGAGGUGCUCAACGUGGAGCAGCAGAGGACGCCGUGGAGGCGCUGUGGUGUGGCGUACGACGUCAAGGGGGAGGUGUGCAGGGGAGUUCCGCGGCGGCGGCACCAUGGAUACGGCGUCAAGGGAGAGGUGUGCAGGGGGGGUUCCGCGGCGGCGCCGCCAUGAAUCCACAUCCUGGUCGUGA
rnacentral:rRNA from 1 species